CUGUAGAGACCUUACCAGUCUGUAACUAGAACCACAGAAACACUCUUAAAACUCGUGUAAUUUCAACUACAGCCUCUUGAAAGUAGUCAGGGUGCGGGCAGAAAUGUUUCAAGAUACGGUGUAUCGUGAAACAUUUCUUUUGGCACUUUUGUUAGAAAUACAGGCAGGGAAUCUGCUUCAUUAAUUAGGGUGCCGUCUUUACACACACACACACACACACACACACACUGUGUGUUACGUGUUCACUGUCAAUCUAUUCACUUCUACUAACAGUUUCCGAGCUCUAUGCAAUCAGCAGCUAUUACUAAAAAGAAUAAAGUAAAUAAAGAACUGUAGGGGAGGAGUCACUGUACACAAAUGAGCGCCUAUAAAGUAGCAGAUGAUAAAAAGAAAAAUGAUCCGACAGUGAAAGGAUUAAGCAUUUAGGAGGCGCAGGUGCGAGGCGUUUACUAUAUAUAACACCUCGACUUUCCCAUGACUCGGUGACAAAGAGGAGCAGUCAGGCGGGUGGGCUGAAGGCGGCCACAGCCACAGCUGACCACUUCGCCGCACCCUCCGCCUCAUUCCAGGCAGUGCAAUGCUUGGAGGUGGCUGUGGAGCAAGAAGGAAUGUGUCAGUGUGUUUAGUCAAGAAGGGGGAUCAUCAACAACAGCAGAGCAAGUUUUAAUGAAGCGGCUCAUCAUCAACACUGCCUACCUGUAAAAUGCUUUGAUGUCUACAUAUUGAAUCACCUCGCCUGCCUGUCUCCCCCUCUGGUAUCAUGGCCCUGGAGAGUCUCACGUCUUCCCUCCAUGCCAGCGCCACACGCCAGCAGGCGUCAGAUUUUCAACAAUCCACUGCUAGUGGGCGAAGCUGCAACCUCUACUGCACCAAGAAAACCAGCAAUGUCCCAGUGUGCAUCUUCUACGGAUACAAAUGUGACACCACGUGAUACUUCUACGCCCUGUACUUCCAAG